UGUACCUACGGGAGGCAGCAGUGGGGAAUAUUGCGCAAUGGCCGAAAGUCUGACGCAGCGACACCGCGUGAGGGAUGAAGGUUUUCGGAUCGUAAACCUCUGUCAGGAGGGAAGAAAGCGCAUGGCGCCAAUCAGCCAUGCGUUGACGGUACCUCCAAAGGAAGCGCCGGCUAACUCCGUGCCAGCAGCCGCGGUAAUACGGAGGGCGCGAGCGUUAAUCGGAAUUACUGGGCGUAAAGCGCGCGUAGGCUGUUGUGAAGGUUGGGGGUGAAAUCCCACGGCUCAACCG
rnacentral:rRNA from 1 species